ACGAACGCUGGCGGCGUGCUUAACACAUGCAAGUCGAACGAUGCUGACGGGAGCUUGCUCCCUGAGAUUAGUGGCGGACGGGUGAGUAACACGUGGGUAACCUGCCCGUAAGUUUGGGAUAACUCCGGGAAACCGGGGCUAAUACCGGAUAUGAUCUUCCUUCGCAUGGGGGAGGUUUGAAAGAUGGGCUAUCACUUACAGAUGGACCCGCGGCCCAUUAGCUUGUUGGUGAGGUAACGGCUCACCAAGGCGACGAUGCGUAGCCGACUUGAGAGGGCGAUCGGCCACACUGGGACUGAGACACGGCCCAGACUCCUACGGGAGGCAGCAGUAGGGAAUAUUCCGCAAUGGACGAAAGUCUGACGGAGCAACGCCGCGUGAGGGAUGAAGGUUUUCGGAUCGUAAAACUCUGUUGUUAGGGAAGAACAAGUAUCGUUCGAAUAGGGSGGKACCUUGACGGUACCUAAC
rnacentral:rRNA from 2 species